CCUACGGGUGGCAGCAGUGAGGAAUAUUGGUCAAUGGACGGAAGUCUGAACCAGCCAUGCCGCGUGCAGGAUGACGGCUCUAUGAGUUGUAAACUGCUUUUGUACGAGAAUAAUAGUUCUUACGUGUAGGGAUUUGAAUGUAUCGUACGAAUAAGGAUCGGCUAACUCCGUGCCAGCAGCCGCGGUAAUACGGAGGAUGCGAGCGUUAUCCGGAUUUAUUGGGUUUAAAGGGUGCGUAGGCGGUCCGUUAAGUCAGCGGUAAAAUUGCGGGGCUCAACCCCGUCGAGCCGUUGAAACUGGCAGACUUGAGUUGGCGAGAAGUACGCGGAAUGCGCGGUGUAGCGGUGAAAUGCAUAGAUAUCGCGCAGAACUCCGAUUGCGAAGGCAGCGUACCGGCGCCAGACUGACGCUGAGGCACGAAAGCGUGGGGAUCGAACAGGAUUAGAUACCCGGGUAGUC
rnacentral:rRNA from 1 species